rnacentral:rRNA from 1 species
AUUGAACGCUGGCGGCAGGCCUAACACAUGCAAGUCGAACGAGUGGCGGACGGGUGAGUAAUGUCUGGGAAACUGCCUGAUGGAGGGGGAUAACUACUGGAAACGGUAGCUAAUACCGCAUACCAUCAGAUGUGCCCAGAUGGGAUUAGCUAGUUGGUGGGGUCACGGCUCACCAAGGCGACGAUCCCUAGCUGGUCUGAGAGGAUUACCAGCCACACGGGAACGUGGACACGGUCCAGACGCCUACGUGAGGCAGCAGUGGGGAAUAUUUCACAAUGGGCGCAAGCCUGAUGCAGCCAUGCCGCGUGUAUGAAGAAGGCCUUCGGGUUGUAAAGUACUGUCAGCGGGGAGGCGUUACCCGCAGAAGAAGCACCGGCUAACUCCGUGCCAGCCGCCGCGGUAAUAC